rnacentral:rRNA from 1 species
GAUUAAGUUAUUAAGGGCGCACGGUGGAUGCCUUGGCACUAGAAGCCGAUGAAGGACGUUACUAACGACGAUAUGCUUUGGGGAGCUGUAAGUAAGCUUUGAUCCAGAGAUUUCCGAAUGGGGAAACCCAGCAUGAGUUAUGUCAUGUUAUCGAUAUGUGAAUACAUAGCAUAUCAGAAGGCACACCCGGAGAACUGAAACAUCUUAGUACCCGGAGGAAGAGAAAGAAAAUUCGAUUCCCUUAGUAGCGGCGAGCGAAACGGGAAGAGCCCAAACCAACAAGCUUGCUUGUUGGGGUUGUAGGACACUCUAUACGGAGUUACAAAGGACGACAUUAGACGAAUCAUCUGGAAAGAUGAAUCAAAGAAGGUAAUAAUCCUGUAGUCGAAAAUGUUGUCUCUCUUGAGUGGAUCCUGAGUACGACGGAGCACGUGAAAUUCCGUCGGAAUCUGGGAGGACCAUCUCCUAAGGCUAAAUACUCUCUAGUGACCGAUAGUGAACCAGUACCGUGAGGGAAAGGUGAAAAGCACCCCGGAAGGGGAGUGAAAUAGAACCUGAAACCGUGUGCUUACAAGUAGUCAGAGCCCGUUAAUGGGUGAUGGCGUGCCUUUUGUAGAAUGAACCGGCGAGUUACGAUUUGAUGCAAGGUUAAGCAGUAAAUGUGGAGCCGUAGCGAAAGCGAGUCUGAAUAGGGCGUUUAGUAUUUGGUCGUAGACCCGAAACCAGGUGAUCUACCCUUGGUCAGGUUGAAGUUCAGGUAACACUGAAUGGAGGACCGAACCGACUUACGUUGAAAAGUGAGCGGAUGAACUGAGGGUAGCGGAGAAAUUCCAAUCGAACCUGGAGAUAGCUGGUUCUCUCCGAAAUAGCUUUAGGGCUAGCCUCAAGUGAUGAUUAUUGGAGGUAGAGCACUGUUUGGACGAGGGGCCCCUCUCGGGUUACCGAAUUCAGACAAACUCCGAAUGCCAAUUAAUUUAACUUGGGAGUCAGAACAUGGGUGAUAAGGUCCGUGUUCGAAAGGGAAACAGCCCAGACCACCAGCUAAGGUCCCAAAAUAUAUGUUAAGUGGAAAAGGAUGUGGCGUUGCCCAGACAACUAGGAUGUUGGCUUAGAAGCAGCCAUCAUUUAAAGAGUGCGUAAUAGCUCACUAGUCGAGUGACACUGCGCCGAAAAUGUACCGGGGCUAAACAUAUUACCGAAGCUGUGGAUUGUCCUUUGGACAAUGGUAGGAGAGCGUUCUAAGGGCGUUGAAGCAUGAUCGUAAGGACAUGUGGAGCGCUUAGAAGUGAGAAUGCCGGUGUGAGUAGCGAAAGACGGGUGAGAAUCCCGUCC